rnacentral:lncRNA from 1 species
CUUCAGCUGUCUUCAGAAUAAUGUCACCCGGCCUCCUCUCCUGUCUUCUGCAGUCUUAAAAGACCUAGUCCCUAACUGAGGUCUGGCUUUUCCUCAGCCCUGGAUGAAGUGGAGAAGACCUAUUUGGAGACUGCUUCCUGUCACCAUAAAAUCCUGAACAUUUGUCUUGAACAUGAACACUCCAAAAGAAGAAUUCCAGGACUGGCCCAUAGUCAGAAUAGCAGCUCAUUUACCAGACCUCAUUGUCUAUGGACAUUUCUCCCCAGAGCGACCCUUUAUGGAUUAUUUUGACGGAGUCCUGAUGUUUGUUGAUAUUUCAGGCAAGUGCAAAAGGGAUGUUUGUUUAAUGUGGAUGAGCAACAGGCUCGCGUGGGAAUUCACAUGCAGAGCUUGAUUGCAGAGUAGGGAGGCCAUUCUGGAGCCCUUGGGCUGUCACAGCAGAUGUGCUCCACUGAGAACACAAGAGGGAGGAAAUAGCUUGUGGCCCUGGCUCUCUCUCAUCCUCCCUUACUCAGGACUGCCAGUCAUAGGCAUAUCUUUAACAUGCUCAAGUCCCAUUCUUUGCUCCAGUAUCUCU